UACGAAGGGUGCAAACGUUGCUCGGAAUUAUUGGGCGUAAAGCGCACGUAGGCGGCUUUUCAAGUCGGAUGUGAAAUCCCUCGGCUUAACCAAGGAAGUGCAUCCGAAACUGGAGAGCUUGAGUACUUAAGAGGAUCGCGGAAUUCCCGGUGUAGAGGUGAAAUUUGUAGAUAUCGGGAGGAACACCAGUGGCGAAGGCGGGUCUCUGGACAGUUCCUGACGCUGAGGCACGAAGGUCAGGGGAGCAAACGGG
rnacentral:rRNA from 1 species